AUAGAUGAGUGAGCUGAAGCACAGUUUGGUUACCAUGUUGCCCAAGGCACAGCCAUUGAGCAAAGGAUUCAACAAUUUUGAUGGAGAACAUAAACAACAGAAAUAAUUCAGCAGAAACAAAUUUUGCAAUGUGGAAAGCACAUAAGUACAGAAAACCAAAAAAAUCUAAAUUCAAAAAAUAAACAAUCUAAGCAAAUGGAA